rnacentral:rRNA from 1 species
AUUGCAAAGAGUGGCGAACGGGUGAGUAACACGUGGGAAACCUACCUCUUAGCAGGGAUAACAUUUGGAAACAGAUGCUAAUACCGUAUAACAAUGACAAUCGCAUGGUUGUUAAUUUAAAAGAUGGUUCUGCUAUCACUAAGAGAUCGGUCCCGCGGUGCAUUAGCUAGUUGGUAAGGUAAUGGCUUACCAAGGCGAUGAUGCAUAGCUGAGUUGAGAGACUGAUCCGGCCACAAGUGGGACUGAGACACCGGCCCAUACUCC